GAUGAACGCUGGCGGCGUGCCUAAUACAUGCAAGUCGAGCGAACGGACGAUAAGCUUGCUUCUCUGAUGUUAGCGGCGGACGGGUGAGUAACACGUGGAUAACCUACCUAUAAGACUGGGAUAACUUCGGGAAACCGGAGCUAAUACCGGAUAAUAUUUUGAACCGCAUGGUUCAAAAGUGAAAGACGGUCUUGCUGUCACUUAUAGAUGGUUCCGCGCUGCAUUAGCUAGUUGGUAAGGUAACGGCUUACCAAGGCAACGAUGCAUAGCCGACCUGAGAGGGUGAUCGGCCACACUGGAACUGAGACACGGUCCAGACUCCUACGGGAGGCAGCAGUAGGGAAUCUUCCGCAAUGGGCGAAAGCCUGACGGAGCAACGCCGCGUGAGUGAUGAAGGUCUUCGGAUCGUAAAACUCUGUUAUUAGGGAAGAACAUAUGUGUAAGUAACUGUGCACAUCUUGACGGUACCUAAUCAGAAAGCCACGGCUAACUACGUG
rnacentral:rRNA from 1 species